rnacentral:rRNA from 1 species
AUGUAAUAAUUAAUAAAUUAUAAUUAAUAAAAAAAUUUUUAAUUUUAAAUAAAUUAUUUUAAUGGGGGUUAAAGUAAAUUUAUUGAAAAAAUUAAUUAAUUUAUAGUAAAUUAGUAUUGUGAAAGAAUUUUGAAAUAAAUGAAAAAAAAAUUGAUUAAAAGUAAAUUUAAUUUAUUGUAUCUUGUGUAUCAGAGUUUAUUAAUUAAAAAUUAUAGAUAAUUAAAAUUCUCGAAUUUAAAAGAGAUAAUUAAUUAUAAAAGUUAUUGUUGCAUAAAUAUUUUAAAUAAUUAAUUGGAAAUGAAAUGUUAUUCGUUUUUAAAUAUAUCUAGUUUUUUUAGAAAAAAAUUUAAUUUUAUAUUAUUAAAAUAAAAAAUUAAUUAAUUAAUUUUUUAUUUUAAUAAUAUUAUAUUUUAAGGGAUAAGCUUUAAUUUAAAUUUAUAUAAAUUUAUUUUAAUUUAAUUAAAAUUUUUAUAAUUUAUAUUGUUAAUAAAUUUUAAUUUAUUAUAAAUAAUUUUAUUUAAAAUAAAAUUUAAUUUAAUUUUAUAUAUUUAUAAAAAAAAAAUUUUUGAAUUUUAUAAAAUUUGAUAUAAUGAUAAAAUUAGUAUAUAAUAAAUUAUAUUAGGAUUAAAAAAUUAUUUAAGUUAAUUAAAAGGAAUUCGGCAAAUAUAUAUAUUCACUUGUUUAUCAAAAACAUGUCUUUUUGAAAUUAAUAUAAAGUCUAAUCUGCCCACUGAUUUAUAUUAAAGGGCUGCAGUAUUUUGACUGUACAAAGGUAGCAUAAUCAUUAGUCAUUUAAUUGAUGACUUGUAUGAAAGAUUGGAUGAAAUAUAUACUGUCUCUUAAUUAUUUAUAGAAUUUAAUUUUUUAAUUAAAAAGUUAAAAUGUAUUAAAAAGACGAGAAGACCCUAUAGAGUUUUAUAUUUAAUUUAAUUAAGAUUAUUUAUAAAUUUAUUAAUUAAAAUUGUUUUAAAUAUUUUGUUGGGGUGACAAAAAAAUAUAAAUAACUUUUUUUAAAAUUUAACAUAUAUAAGUGAUUAAAUGAUCCAAUAUUAUUGAUUAUAAGAAAAAAUUACCUUAGGGAUAACAGCGUAAUUUUUUUUUUUAGUUCAAAUAAAAAAAAGAGUUUGCGACCUCGAUGUUGGAUUAAGAUAAAAUUUAAAUGCAGAAGUUUAAAAUUUUUGAUCUGUUCGAUCAUUAAAAUCUUACAUGAUCUGAGUUCAAACCGGUGUAAGCCAGGUUGGUUUCUAUCUUUUAAUAAAUAAAAUAUUUUAGUACGAAAGGAUUAAAUAUUUAAAUUAAAUUUAUUUAAAUUGAAUAUUAUUAAUAAAUUUUAAAUAUAUUUGUUUAUAUUAAUAUAUAUAUAUAUAUAUAUAA